rnacentral:rRNA from 1 species
GACGAACGCUGGCGGCGUGCUUAACACAUGCAAGUCGAACGGUAAGGCGCUUCUUUUGUGGGGUGCUCGGGUGGAGAACGGAAGAGUAACGCGAGAGUUACGUGACCUUGCCUUUGGGAUAACUUAAGGACACUGAGGCUAAUACCGGAUAGGAGCUCCUGCUUCUUGGUGAGGGUUGGUCAGGUGCGGCGGUUGGGGCUGGGCGCGCGGCUCAUGAGGCUGUUGGGGGGGUUGUGGCUUACAAGGGCUUUGACGGGUGGCCGGUCUGAGAGGGUGACCGGCCACAUUGGGACUGAUAUGCGGCCCAGACUCCUACGGGAUGCAGCAGUGGGGAAUAGUGUACAGUGGGCGGAAGCCGUAUGCAGUAACGCCGUGCGGGUUGUGACGGCCUUCGGGUUGUAAACCGCGUUCGCCUGGGAUGAAGCGUGAGUGACGGUAAUUGGUAAAGAAGCACCGGCUAACUACGUG